rnacentral:rRNA from 1 species
GACGAACGCUGGCGGCGUGCUUAACACAUGCAAGUCGAACGGAAAGGCCCUGCUUGCCGGGUACUCGAGUGGCGAACGGGUGAGUAACACGUGGGUGAUCUGCCCUGCACUUCGGGAUAAGCUUGGGAAACUGGGUCUAAUACCGGAUAGGAACCAUCUUUAGUGUGGUGGUUGGAAAGUUUUUUCGGUGUAGGAUGAGCUCGCGGCCUAUCAGCUUGUUGGUGGGGUAAUGGCCUACCAAGGCGGCGACGGGUAGCCGGCCUGAGAGGGUGUACGGCCACAUUGGGACUGAGAUACGGCCCAGACUCCUACGGGAGGCAGCAGUGGGGAAUAUUGCACAAUGGGCGCAAGCCUGAUGCAGCGACGCCGCGUGGGGGAUGAAGGCCUUCGGGUUGUAAACGCCUUUCGCUAGGGACGAAGCUUUUUGUGACGGUACCUAGAUAAGAAGCACCGGCUAACUACGUG